rnacentral:rRNA from 1 species
GAUGAACGCUGGCGGCGUGCCUAAUACAUGCAAGUCGAGCGAACGGACGAGAAGCUUGCUUCUCUGAUGUUAGCGGCGGACGGGUGAGUAACACGUGGAUAACCUACCUAUAAGACUGGGAUAACUUCGGGAAACCGUAGCUAAUACCGGAUAAUAUUUUGAACCGCAUGGUUCAAAAGUGAAAGACGGUCUUGCUGUCACUUAUAGAUGGAUCCGCGCUGCAUUAGCUAGUUGGUAAGGUAACGGCUUACCAAGGCAACGAUGCAUAGCCGACCUGAGAGGCUGAUCGGCCGCACUGGAACUGAGACACGGUCCAGACUCCUACGGGAGGCAGCAGUAGGGAAUCUGCCGCAAUGGGCGAAAGCCUGACGGAGCAACGCCGCGUGAGUGAUGAAGGUCUUCGGAUCGUAAAACUCUGUUAUUAGGGAAGAACAUAUGUGUAAGUAACUGUGCACAUCUUGACGGUACCUAAUCAGAAAGCCACGGCUAACUACGUG